rnacentral:rRNA from 1 species
UUUCCGGUUGAUCCCGCCGGACCUGACUGCUAUCGGAUUGAUACUAAGCCAUGCGAGUCAUUGUAGUAAUACAAGGCAGACGGCUCAGUAACGCGUAGUCAACCUACCCUAUGGACGAGGAUAAUCUCGGGAAACUGAGGAUAAUACUCGAUAGACCAUUAUGCCUGGAACGGUUUAUGGUUAAAAUGAUUCGUCGCCAUAGGAUGGGACUGCGGCCUAUCAGCUUGUUGGUGAGGUAAUGGCCCACCAAGGCGGUUACAGGUACGGGCUCUGAGAGGAGAAGCCCGGAGAUGGGUACUGAGACAAGGACCCAGGCCCUAUGGGGCGCAGCAGGCGAGAAAACUUUGCAAUGUGCGAAAGCACGACAAGGUUAGUCCGAGUGAUUUCUGCUAAAGAAAUCUUUUGCAAGUUAUAAAACCACUAGUGAAUAAGGGGUGGGCAAGUUCUGGUGUCAGCCGCCGCGGUAAAACCAGCACCUCAAGUGGUCAGGAUGAUUAUUGGGCCUAAAGCAUCCGUAGCCUGCUCUGUUAGUUUUCGGUUAAAUCCAUGUGCUCAACACAUGGGCUGCCGAAAAUACUGCAGGGCUAGGGAGUGGGAGAGGUAGACGGUACUCAGUAGGAAGGGGUAAAAUCCUUUGAUCUAUUGAUGACCACCUGUGGCGAAGGCGGUCUACCAGAACACGUUCGACGGUGAGGGAUGAAAGCUGGGGGAGCAAACCGGAUUAGAUACCCGGGUAGUCCCAGCUGUAAACGAUGCAGACUCGAUGAUGCAUUGGCUUAUUGCCAAUGCAGUGUCGCAGGGAAGCCGUUAAGUCUGCCGCCUGGGAAGUACGUACGCAAGUAUGAAACUUAAAGGAAUUGGCGGGGGAGCACCACAAGGGGUGAAGCUUGCGGUUCAAUUGGAGUCAACGCCGGA